UACGUAGGGUGCAAGCGUUGUCCGGAAUUAUUGGGCGUAAAGAGCUCGUAGGCGGCCUGUCACGUCGACUGUGAAAACCCGAGGCUCAACCUCGGGCCUGCAGUCGAUACGGGCAGGCUAGAGUUCGGUAGGGGAGACUGGAAUUCCUGGUGUAGCGGUGAAAUGCGCAGAUAUCAGGAGGAACACCGGUGGCGAAGGCGGGUCUCUGGGCCGAUACUGACGCUGAGGAGCGAAAGCGUGGGGAGCGAACAGG
rnacentral:rRNA from 1 species